rnacentral:rRNA from 1 species
GAAGAACGCUGGCGGCGUGCCUAAUACAUGCAAGUCGAGCGAACGGACGAGAAGCUUGCUUCUCUGAUGUUAGCGGCGGACGGGUGAGUAACACGUGGAUAACCUACCUAUAAGACUGGGAUAACUUCGGGAAACCGGAGCUAAUACCGGAUGAUAUUUUGAACCGCAUGGUUCAAAAGUGAAAGACGGUCUUGCUGUCACUUAUAGAUGGAUCCGCGCUGCAUUAGCUAGUUGGUAAGGUAACGGCUUACCAAGGCAACGAUGCAUAGCCGACCUGAGAGGGUGAUCGGCCACACUGGAACUGAGACACGGUCCAGACUCCUACGGGAGGCAGCAGUAGGGAAUCUUCCGCAAUGGGCGAAAGCCUGACGGAGCAACGCCGCGUGAGUGAUGAAGGUCUUCGGAUCGUAAAACUCUGUUAUUAGGGAAGAACAUAUGUGUAAGUAACUGUGCACAUCUUGACGGUACCUAAUCAGAAGGCCACGGCUAACUACG